UACGUAGGGGGCAAGCGUUGUCCGGAUUUAUUGGGCGUAAAGAGCGUGUAGGCGGCCAAACAGGUCCACUGUGAAAACUCGAGGCUCAACCUCGAGAGGUCGGUGGAAACCGUCUGGCUAGAGUCCGGAAGAGGAGAGUGGAAUUCCCGGUGUAGCGGUGAAGUGCGCAGAUAUCGGGAAGAACACCCGUGGCGAAGGCGGCUCUCUGGGACGGUACUGACGCUGAGACGCGAAAGCGUGGGGAGCGAACAGG
rnacentral:rRNA from 1 species